AAUAAAGAGAUACAUACCGUUGUACACACACACACACAUACAUACUCAUAUCUCACUGCUGUUUUGACAUUUCGCAGUGCACAAACAAAUCAUUCAAGAACACAUCCAAGUAAAACAACAAAUACAUAAUUAGGCAAAAGCACAUCCGUCGUAAAUCCGGUGUGUUUAAGUACGAAAAACCGUUGGUUCCAAGCGGAAUUAUUUCGAACAUCCUCCGAGAUCAGGCGGUCAACGUAGGUCAGCUCAUCAUCGAACAAGCUAACAAUCCAAAGAAAAACCAAAGUCGGGCAAGUCUACGCAUUCGAUUCGUUCGCUUGGACAGAAUAUUCCAAAACUUCCAUAAAUAUUGUUUUUGGGCUGAAAGAGUACAUCCGGGAAAGUGCAAGCAAAUUGGAUCUUCCGGCCAAUUUUUCGAUACAUAAAAAUAGAACUGCCAGACACCGUCAUUCAGGUAC